rnacentral:tRNA from 1 species
AGCAGCGUGGCUUAGUGGAAAGAGCCCGGGCUUGGGAGUCAGAGGUCGUGGGAUCUAAUCCCACCUCUGCCA